CGUGGCAUUUGUGUUAUACUACUAUUCGCAUCGAUGGAUUGCAAUCUUUACAAUUAACUACAGUCUCAAUAAAUGACAAUUCUCUAUUUUAUUAAAUUGGUUACGGAGUAAAAUAAAUUGUAAUUUUAUAGACACUAUGUAUGUAUCAUUAGGACUUCUAUGGUUAAGUUUCAAAAUAAUUUACGGAGCAAUAACUAUAUGUCCAAUAGGUGGAGAUGUUGCUUAUUUUUUAUGUGAGCUGCUAAAUGAUGAAAGUGUUUUUAAUAAAUUCUAUAUAAAGAGUUUUGAAAAAGAAAUUA